CUAAUUGAAGAGUUUGAUCAUGGCUCAGAUUGAACGCUGGCGGCAGGCCUAACACAUGCAAGUCGAGCGGCAGCGACAU
rnacentral:rRNA from 1 species